GAUGAACGCUGGCGGCGUGCCUAAUACAUGCAAGUCGAGCGAACAGACGAGGAGCUUGCUCCUCUGACGUUAGCGGCGGACGGGUGAGUAACGCGUGGAUAACCUACCUAUAAGACUGGGAUAACUUCGGGAAACCGGAGCUAAUACCGGAUAACAUGUUGAACCGCAUGGUUCAACAGUGAAAGACGGUCUUGCUGUCACUUAUAGAUGGAUCCGCGCCGCAUUAGCUAGUUGGUAAGGUAACGGCUUACCAAGGCAACGAUGCGUAGCCGACCUGAGAGGGUGAUCGGCCACACUGGAACUGAGACACGGUCCAGACUCCUACGGGAGGCAGCAGUAGGGAAUCUUCCGCAAUGGGCGAAAGCCUGACGGAGCAACGCCGCGUGAGUGAAGAAGGUCUUCGGAUCGUAAAACUCUGUUAUUAGGGAAGAACAAAUGUGUAAGUAACUAUGCACGUCUUGACGGUACCUAAUCAGAAAGCCACGGCUAACUACGUG
rnacentral:rRNA from 1 species